AGCGAACGCUGGCGGCAUGCCUAACACAUGCAAGUCGAACGAGACCUUCGGAUCUGGUUGCGCUCGGGUGCGUAACGCGGGGGAAGCUGCCCUUAUGUUCCGGAUUCCACCCUUACGGGGGUGCUAAUGCCGGGUAACUUCUGCGAACCAAGGAUUGGUCGCGUUGGGAUGGGCACGCGUUGUUUUAACAUGUUGCUAUGGUAAGAGCCUAUGAAGGCUACGAUCGAUAGCUGGGCUCAGAGGAUGAGCAGCCACACUGGGACUGAGACCCGGUGCAGAAUCCUAGGGGAGGCAGGAGUGGGUAAUACAGGACAACCGGCGAAAGCCUGAUCCAGCUAGGGCGCGUGAGUGAUGAAGUCGUUAGGGUAGUAAAGCUCGUUUAUCCGGGAUGAUAAUGACAGUACCGGGAGAAUAAGCACCGGCUAACUCCGUG
rnacentral:rRNA from 1 species